CGACGCUGGUGUCGCUGCCCGUCAUCAACCUCUCCCGCGGCCGCGACGAUGUCCGCCAGGCCGUGCUCCACGCCGGCAAGGAGCUUGGCUUCUUCCAGGUAAUUCAUGCACGAUUGACAACACGUACACAGGGCUGAUAUAGACUGUGCACUCUCUGCAAUUAACGAAGCUAAUGGUUUUAUUAAAGGAAAAUCAUGAACAUACCGGAGUUGAUAAGAUAAUCAUAGAGAACUAGGCUGUAGCCUAGUGGCAAGGGAGCAUAGUGGCGUCUCCAGCAACUAGGGUUCGAGCCACAUCGGGGACGAAUUUCUGGUUUCUCACAAGGGAUGCUUCUCCUAUAUCAAUAAACCAUGGGUGCUAGUGCCUAUGAGUUUCUUUUUUUUU